rnacentral:tRNA from 1 species
AGAGGAUUAAAGGUUAAAACCCUGACUUGAACUCAGGUAUAGGACGUUCAACUCGCCCAUUCUCUU